rnacentral:rRNA from 1 species
AUUGAACGCUAGCGGCAGGCCUAACACAUGCAAGUCGAACGAGUGGCGGACGGGUGAGUAAUAUAUGGGAACGUGCCUGAUGGCGGGGGAUAACUACUAGAAAGAGUGGCUAAUACCGCAUACCAUCAGAUCUGCCCAAAUGGGAUUAGCUAGUUGGUGGGGUAACGGCUCACCAGGGCGACGAUCCCUAGCUGGUCGGAGAGGAAGACCAGCCAGCUGGGGACUUAGACACGGCCCAGACUCCUACGGUAGGCAGCAGUGGGGAAUCUUCGACAAUGGACGAAAGUCUGAGCGAGCCAUGCCGCGUGGAUGAAGAAGGUCUUCGGGUUGUAAAGCGCUGUUGUUAGAGAAGCGGUAUCCAACGAAAAAGCACCGGCUAACUCCGUGCCAGCAGCCGCGGUAAUAC